AUCCAUACACGUAGCUUACACACUAAUGAUAUAGUGCUCUCCCUUACAUGAUAUAAGUGAUUAUUUUUUUUUUUUAUAUAUUUAUAGAUGUGAACGAAUGCACCUUAAACCCAGGCAUAUGUGGUAACAACUCCGUUUGUAUCGACACCAAGGGUACCCACACCUGUCAUUGUGAAGAUGGGUACACGAGAACAGACCAUGACGAACCUGGAUGUAAUAAAGAAAAAGAUUUUGACGAACUAGUCAUAUGGAUUACAGCUGGAUUUGGAGCAGCUCUGAUCUUUGCUACUGUUGUUGUUUUCGUUGGUCUCAUCUGGAGAUCCCGGCGUUCACGGAGAAGGAAGCAAGAUAAAUCUAAUCGACAAAAUGCACACACCAACGGGAAUAAUGCGGCCAUUGAGUUGGGCAUGUCUUCUCUGAACCGGACGAAUUCGUUACCAUUGCAACGGGCGGAAGGAAGUAGGUACGCAGGCUUGACAGGAGACGUCGGAGAAAGAGACGAGUCUAGCUUGGAACCUGGAACAAAAGCAGAUGUUCCCUUGAGUUGAAACCGACCAUUAACCCCUUGAACAAUGAGGUCGCGUGUUCGAACCUAGCGCUCGGCUUUCCAUAGGUCCUAGAGAUCAACAGAGUACCCGGAGUAAACCACCGACCUUCACAAAAAACUUGAAAAACUUUCCAAGUGUAAGUCGCAGUCGAAACAAACUGGGCUGAAUCGGAACACCGCCGUCAUAUAAAUGAAACAUUCUGGUGCAUGAUGUUCAACACUAUACUCUGAAUACUCAAUGCUGAUUGGCUGACAGUGGAGAUAAGGUUUCCUGGGUUAAUCCCUACAGGCUUGGUCACGCUUGAAUAAAUGUGCUAUACCUAAAAUUCAGCUUAAGCUAGGCAUAGCCAGGAAUUGCCUGUCUCCCACAUCAGCCAAUCAGUAUCGAUUCUGUAUACCUUUAAGUGGCGUCCAGAGACAAAUUCAUACUACACUGUAACAGAAGAAGUCGUUUCAGAACAAAAAAUUACGAUACUCCCAGUGUGAUUCAGGAUAGCAUGUCCCCGACUCUAAACACCACUGGUCGCAGUGAGUUCCAUGUCCAGCUCAUGCUGGCUUCCUCUUCGGCCGUAUGUGGGAAGGUCUUCCAGCAACCAGCGGAUGAUCGUGGGUUUCCCCCCCCCCCCCCCCC